rnacentral:rRNA from 1 species
GCGCCCCUUCGGGGGAGCGGCAGACGGGUGAGUAACGCGUGGGAAUCUACCCAGCUCUGCGGAAUAACCUGAGGAAACUUGGACUAAUACCGCAUACGCCCUUCGGGGGAAAGAUUUAUCGGAGUUGGAUGAGCCCGCGUUUGAUUAGCUAGUUGGUGGGGUAAAGGCCUACCAAGGCGACGAUCAAUAGCUGGUCUGAGAGGAUGAUCAGCCACAUUGGGACUGAGACACGGCCCAAACUCCUACGGGAGGCAGCAGUGGGGAAUAUUGGACAAUGGGCGCAAGCCUGAUCCAGCCAUGCCGCGUGAGUGAUGAAGGCCCUAGGGUUGUAAAGCUCUUUCAACGGUGAAGAUAAUGACGGUAGCCGUAGAAGAAGCCCCGGCUAACUUCGUGCCAGCAGCCGCGGUAAUACGAAGGGGGCUAGCGUUGUUCGGAAUUACUGGGCGUAAAGCGCACGUAGGCGGAUCGUUAAGUGAGGGGUGAAAUCCCGGGGCUCAACCCCGGAACUGCCUUUCAUACUGGCGAUCUGGAGUUCGAGAGAGGUGAGUGGAAUUCCGAGUGUAGAGGUGAAAUUCGUAGAUAUUCGGAGGAACACCAGUGGCGAAGGCGGCUCACUGGCUCGAUACUGACGC